AUAAAGAAAGGUGAGGAGAAAAAAGGGGCAGAGAAGAGGAGAAUGAAAGAAUCAGUGAAAAAUGCUUUGAGAUCAGCAGUAGUGGUUAUUGGAGCUUUAGCUUUUGGUCACUUGACUUUACAGCUUGCUUUUAAGCCUUAUCUUGAAAAAACACAACAACAAAUGGAAGCUCUGCAAAAUCAAGAACCCCAGUCAUCUGAAUCAUCCGAGUCAAAUGAUGAGCAGUUUGAUGAUACCCAUAUACUAAUGUCUGAUGAGGGUUUCACUAAUCUUGAUGAUUCUUGACUACCCAAGAUUCUGGAUACAACAGAUCGCCAAGAUCGAGUGGAACUUUGGACAUGUGAUCAACAUUUUGCUUUGAUUUGUUUAACGGCUCUAUCUUGUUUGUCAAACCUCUCAAACCGAACUAUAGGAAUGUCUGUUUGCAGUUUAUUUUACCCAAUGAAGAACUGGACACAAUCCUAGUCCCCGUUGAUAUUCAAAAAACAACGGAAGAUAAUUUGAGCUCCCACUUAAUUUCUUGUGUAUUAACAUUUAAAA